GAUUCCUUAGCUCAGCUGGCAGAGCACAACACUUUUGGGGUCCUGGGUUCGAACCCCAGAGGGAUCACAA
rnacentral:tRNA from 1 species